rnacentral:siRNA from 1 species
AGUCUUUCUUGGAACGCUCUUGCU